rnacentral:rRNA from 1 species
GACGAACGCUGGCGGCGUGCCUAAUACAUGCAAGUAGAACGCUGAAGGAGGAGCUUGCUUCUCUGGAUGAGUUUCGAACGGGUGAGUAACGCGUAGGUAACCUGCCUGGUAGCGGGGGAUAACUAUUGGAAACGAUAGCUAAUACCGCAUAAGAGUAGAUGUUGCAUGACAUUUGCUUAAAAGGUGCAAUUGCAUCACUACCAGAUGGACCUGCGUUGUAUUAGCUAGUUGGUGAGGUAACGGCUCACCAAGGCGACGAUACAUAGCCGACCUGAGAGGGUGAUCGGCCACACUGGGACUGAGACACGGCCCAGACUCCUACGGGAGGCAGCAGUAGGGAAUCUUCGGCAAUGGACGGAAGUCUGACCGAGCAACGCCGCGUGAGUGAAGAAGGUUUUCGGAUCGUAAAGCUCUGUUGUAAGAGAAGAACGAGUGUGAGAGUGGAAAGUUCACACUGUGACGGUAUCUUACCAGAAAGGGACGGCUAACUACGUGCCAGCAGCCGCGGUAAUACGUAGGUCCCGAGCGUUGUCCGGAUUUAUUGGGCGUAAAGCGAGCGCAGGCGGUUAGAUAAGUCUGAAGUUAAAGGCUGUGGCUUAACCAUAGUACGCUUUGGAAACUGUUUAACUUGAGUGCAAGAGGGGAGAGUGGAAUUCCAUGUGUAGCGGUGAAAUGCGUAGAUAUAUGGAGGAACACCGGUGGCGAAAGCGGCUCUCUGGCUUGUAACUGACGCUGAGGCUCGAAAGCGUGGGGAGCAAACAGG